AGACAGAGCACAAAGCCUUACCCAGGACCCCACUUCUCCCAGCAGCUGGAUAAACAUAUUCGACGACAGACCUUGGCAAGAACUGCAAAGAUGCUCUUGACAAUGGCAUGAAUAAAUAUUAGGUGUUAUCUAGAAUUCACCACAUUUGAGGUCGUGCGCAAAGCCAGAUCAAAGAGAAUGCAGAACAAUAGAAGCAAGAAGGAUCCCAAAUAUAGUGUUGCAACUCUCCUCACCUGCAGGAAGGGCUAUACAUUUCCGAAGACAGAGAAGAGGAAAAAGGAGGUAGAGUCUGGUAUGAGGGCACCAGGGAACAUUUCCUUACUUCACAAUUUGGUGAACUGAGUAGAACUGCCUGACAUCACACAGAGGGUAAACUUCUGCCUAGGGCCAUGGAAAAAGGCAAGAAGGUCCCGUGACCAAGAAAUGACCAGCUCCACAGAGGAAAUGCAGGGCCACUCUCCGACUGGACCCCACUGUGCACAAGCCUGCUCAAUGUGAAGAUGACGAGGAUGAAAACCUUUAUGAUGAUCUACUCCUAUUUAUGCUGCCUUGCAAGAAAUGGAAGGGAAGCACAAGGGGAUUGAGUGCCUUGGCUGAAGCCCUUGGUCAGCAAGUGGUGGAGCAAGCAUUGAGACAGCAGCUUCUAACCUAAGCAUGUGCUCAUCUCAGCACUCUGCCCAAAACCUGCUCAGUUCAGCUUCCUAGAGGGGCUCCCUACUCACACACUUUGGAAAGGAGAACAGUUCUUCACGUAGAAUGUGAACAAUCAAGCUGGACUCUCACAGAACUUCCUAGAGGCCCUACUCUGGCCCAAGAUUGAACCACAGUGAAAUCAUCAGUUCUGCAUUGGAUGAUAUCACUGAUCAAUUUUCUUUCCAUUCCGUCAUUUGGUGCACCCUUCCUCUACCUCCAGAGUCAUCUGGACCCGUGACUACCACCAACAGAUCUUAGCACCCUGAAAUCUCAGUUCUGGCCUGCUGACUUUUUAUAUCCAUAUAUUUUCUAACUUUAUCCAUCCUCAAAGACUUCCCUCCUUGGGACCCUGUUUUCUAAUGAUAAAUAAGUAAUGAGUCUUAUAAUCCAAGACUCACUGACAAUGGAAUUGCAGAAAUUCCCUAUCCACAGGCGUGACUAUUAGAGUGGGAAUUUCAGACACACCGACAGGGUAAGUAGAGAAAUCUUAUAGGAGGACUGAGGAUCUUAUACCCCAGCAACCACUCUGCCAUUCUGAAUGGGAUGUGGCUGGCCCUAGACCAGCUACAAAUGCAUGUCAUGUCCUUAUGUCAGAUUCAUCAAAUGUCAAAUCAGGAAGUCAUUUGGAUAACACAUUUCUGGUUAUAAAUAACAAAAACUGACUCAAGCUAGCCUAAGGGAAAAAAUUAAUAA
ensembl:lncRNA novel transcript